rnacentral:rRNA from 1 species
GACAGAGGGUGCAAACGUUGUUCGGAAUUCCUGGGCGUAAAGCGAGUGUAGGCGGUUUCCUAAGUCCGGGGUGAAAGCCCCGGGCUCAACCCGGGAAGUGCACUUGAAACUGGGAGGCUAGAGUAUCGGAGAGGUUGGUGGAAUUCUCGGUGUAGAGGUGAAAUUCGUAGAUAUCGAGAGGAACACCGGUGGCGAAGGCGGCGACCUGGUCCGAUACUGACGCUGAGGCGCGAAAGCGUGGGGAGCAAACAGG